rnacentral:rRNA from 1 species
GAUGAACGCUGGCGGCGUGCUUAACACAUGCAAGUCGAACGAAGCACUUUGAAAGCUUGCUUUCGAAGUGACUGAGUGGCGGACGGGUGAGUAACGCGUGGAUAACCUGCCUCACACAGGGGGAUAACAGUUAGAAAUGACUGCUAAUACCGCAUAAGCCCACGGUACCGCAUGGUACAGAGGGAAAAGAUUUUAUCGGUGUGAGAUGGAUCCGCGUCUGAUUAGCUAGCUGGUGGGGUAACGGCCCACCAAGGCGACGAUCAGUAGCCGACCUGAGAGGGUGACCGGCCACAUUGGGACUGAGACACGGCCCAAACUCCUACGGGAGGCAGCAGUGGGGAAUAUUGCACAAUGGGCGCAAGCCUGAUGCAGCGACGCCGCGUGAGUGAAGAAGUAUUUCGGUAUGUAAAGCUCUAUCAGCAGGGAAGAUAAUGACAGUACCUGACUAAGAAGCUCCGGCUAAAUACGUGCCAGCCGCCGCGGUAAUAC